GGUCUGCUCUGGGCCGCUGGGAGGACCCAUCCUCUCACUGGUUCGCUUCCUUGCGGACUUGGGUGUAGAUCACUGAUGGAGAAGGAUGGAGCACCUGAGGCCGCUUGGCCAAGAGCCCAAUUCCCUGCUGUCUCUAGAGCUGGCAGGGCCAGGACCAGCGCUGGGAUUUCAAGGAUGAAAAGCCACGCAGUCCAGGACUUUCAAGCACUUGCAGUCUAUGGGUACACAAAUAAA